GGUCAUGGAUAACCUCGCGAAAGUGAGGGUAAACCAUGGUAAAGGAUUUGUUCUGGAAUGACAUUUCUUUUAAAUUCGUGCCUAAGGAUGAGGCUGCGGCUGAUUAGGUUGUUGGCGGGGUAAUGGCCCACCAAGCCUUUGAUCAGUAAGGGCUCUUAGCGGAGAGGCCCUGAGAGGGGAUCUGAGACACUAUCCCCAGCCCUACGGGGUGCAGCAGUCAAGGAACUUUUACAAUGCGCGAAAGCGUGAUAAAGUAAGCCAGAGUGUUUCUCGUUUAGAGAAACUUUUGCUUGCUGCAAAAAGGCAGGCGAAUAAGGACUGGGCAAGACUGGUGCUAGCCGCCGCGGUAAUCCCAGCAGUCCGAGUUGCAGCCACAAUUAUUGGGUCUAAAACAUCCGUAGCUUGUUAUGUAAGUUUUCUGUGAAAUCCUAUCUCUUAAGGAUAGGAAGUGCAGAAAAUACUGCAUGACUUGAGACUGGAAGACGUAAAGAGUACAUCUGAGGUAGUAGUAAAAUACGUUAAUCUUAGAUGGACUAACAACAGCGAAGGCACUUUACGAGUACAGAUCUGACAGUGAGGGAUGAAGGCUAGGGUCGCGAAACGGAUUAGAUACCCGUGUAGUCCUAGCAGUAAACACUGCGCACUAAACAUCAUUAUCUCCUCGAGAGAUAUUGGUGCUGCACCGAAGGGGAAGAGUGCGCUACCUGGGAAGUAUAGCCGCAAGGCCGAAACUUAAAGGAAUUGGCGGGGGAGUACUACAACGGGUGACGCGUGCGGUUCAAUUAGAUUCUACACCGUGAACCUCACCAGGAUCGAUAGCAGAAUGAAGGUCAGUCUGAAGGGCUUACCUGACACGCUAAGAGGAGUUGCAUGGCCGACGUCAGCCUGUGUCGUGAGAUGACCUGUUAAAUCAGGUAACAGGCGAGACCCACGUGUAUAGUUGCUACAGAAAUGAGCUACACUAUAUAGACUGCUUUAGUAAUGAAGAGGAAGGAGUGGGCUACGUUAGGUGAGUACGGCCCGAAUACCCUGGGCUACACGCGCGCGGCAAUGCUGCAUUCAAUGAGAUGCAACACCGAAAGGUGAAGCUAAUCCCUUAACAUGCAGCUCAGUUCAGAUUGUAGGCUGCAACUUGCCUACAUGACGCUGGAAUCCGUAGUAAUCGUUCCUCAUCAGGGAACGGUGAAUAUGUCCCCUCUCCUUGCACACACCGCCCGUCAAACCAACCGAGUUAUGUUUUGGUGAGGCUUUUCGAAGACGAGCCUCAACAUGACAAGGUAGGUUAAGUCGACACAAGGUA
rnacentral:rRNA from 1 species